rnacentral:rRNA from 1 species
UACGGGGGGGGCAAGCGUUGUUCGGAAUUACUGGGCGUAAAGGGUUUGUAGGUGGCUUGUUAAGUCAGACGUGAAAUCCCUCAGCUUAACUGGGGAACUGCGUCUGAUACUGGCGAGCUUGAGUGCAGGAGAGGAACGCGGAAUUCCAGGUGUAGCGGUGAAAUGCGUAGAUAUCUGGAGGAAUACCGGUGGCGAAGGCGGCAUCCUGGACCAAUACUGACGCUGAGGCGCGAAAGCUAGGGGAGCAAACGGG